CCUACGGGUGGCUGCAGUGGGGAAUAUUGGACAAUGGGCGAAAGCCUGAUCCAGCCAUGCCGCGUGUGUGAAGAAGGCCUUCGGGUUGUAAAGCACUUUCAGUGGGGAAGAAAGCCUUGGGGCUAAUACCCUCGAGGAAGGACAUCACCCACAGAAGAAGCACCGGCUAACUCCGUGCCAGCAGCCGCGGUAAUACGUAGGGUGCGAGCGUUAAUCGGAAUUACUGGGCGUAAAGCGCGCGUAGGCGGUCUGAUAAGCCGGUUGUGAAAGCCCCGGGCUCAACCUGGGAACGGCAUCCGGAACUGUCAGGCUAGAGUGCAGGAGAGGAAGGUAGAAUUCCCGGUGUAGCGGUGAAAUGCGUAGAGAUCGGGAGGAAUACCAGUGGCGAAGGCGGCCUUCUGGACUGACACUGACGCUGAGGUGCGAAAGCGUGGGUAGCAAACAGGAUUAGAUACCCCAGUAGUC
rnacentral:rRNA from 1 species